CCAAUGUGGAAUUCCGUCUCGAAUAUGGAGACUGAUGCCAUGCUAGUCGUUGACCCCACUUCAGCAUUGUUCCAUCGGCAUCCCCUUGGACGCCGACCUAAUGGAGGAAAGAUUCCUUCUGGUUUUAUAAAGAAAACCAGAGUUUUUUAUUUCAAUUACACCGGCAGGAGUAAAGAGAAGAAUAAUUAAUCUCACAGAGUAUUUACGAAUCCCCGGCCAUCGAGUCCACCAAUCUCGCGUGGGGACUAUUCCCACUCCAGCCUGCAAGCUCAGCAGGAGCCGGGUGGUAAAAGUGCCCCCUAAUCGAGUCGACCCUCUCGCGGACUAAACGUAAGUCCUCCAGUCGCCAAGCUAGGGCGAUAGGAGGUGGUAGCUGUGAAAAUCAAAAAAAUUUAACAUUUAUUACUUAUAGUUAAAACUAACAAGUUUUCAAUUCUUGUUAGUUUGUUAUAGAUAUAGGCUAACAAGCUUAUCUACUUGUUAGAUUUUUAUAAGCUUAUCUACUUAUAAAAUAAUUUUUAAAUUAAAUCUGUCUUUUAAUAAAAGACACGUAUUUAGUUCGCAAAUUCCCGCAUACCGCCUACGGAUCCGUGACUUUCCGCUACUUCCUGCACCAUAUGACGCUAUUCAAAGCCCCUCGACAUACGUCCGAAACUAGGCUUUUAAA
rnacentral:rRNA from 1 species